rnacentral:rRNA from 1 species
UUGUGGGACCCCGCGGUAGAUAGCAUAUCAAUAAGCGGAGGAAAAGAAACUAACAAGGAUUCCCAUAGUAACUGCGAGUGAAGCGGGAAAAGCUCAAAUUUAAAAUCUGGCAGUCUCUGGCUGUCCGAGUUGUAAUCUAGAGAAGUAAUGCCCGUGCUGGACCGUGUAUAAGUCUCCUGGGAUGGGGCGUCAUAGAGGGUGAGAAUCCCGUCUUUGACACGGACUACCAGUGCAUUGUGGUAUGCUCUCAAAGAGUCGAGUUGUUUGGGAAUGCAGCUCAAAAUGGGUGGUAAAUUCCAUCUAAAGCUAAAUAUUGGCGAGAGACCGAUAGCGAACAAGUACCGUGAGGGAAAGAUGAAAAGAACUUUGGAAAGAGAGUUAAACAGUACGUGAAAUUGCUGAAAGGGAAACGCUUGAAGUCAGUCGCGUUGGCCGGGAAUCAGCCUUGCUUUUGCAUGGUGUACUUUCUGGUUGACGGGUCAGCAUCAAUUUUGACCGCUGGAAAAAGGCCUGGGGAAUGUGGCAGCUUCGGCUGUGUUAUAGCCCCUAGUCACAUACAGUGGUUGGGAUUGAGGAACUCAGCACGCCGCAAGGCCGGGUUUCGACCACGUUCGUGCUUAGGAUGCUGGCAUAAUGGCUUUAAGCGACCCGUCUUGAAACACGGACCAAGGAGUCUAACAUGCCUGCGAGUAUUUGGGUGGAAAACUCAAGUGCGUAAUGAAAGUGAAAGUUGAGAUCCCUGUCGUGGGGAGCAUCGACGCCCGGACCAGAACUUUUGGGACGGAUCCGCGGUGGAGCAUGUAUGUUGGGACCCGAAAGAUGGUGAACUAUGCCUGAAUAGGGUGAAGCCAGAGGAAACUCUGGUGGAGGCUCGUAGCGAUUCUGACGUGCAAAUCGAUCGUCAAAUUUGGGUAUAGGGGCGAAAGACUAAUCGAACCAUCUAGUAGCUGGUUCCUGCCGAGUCUCCCUUCCAAGUAUA